rnacentral:rRNA from 1 species
UACGUAGGGGGCUAGCGUUGUCCGGAAUCAUUGGGCGUAAAGCGCGUGUAGGCGGCCCGGUAAGUCCGCUGUGAAAGUCCAGGGCUCAACCCUGGGAUGCCGGUGGAUACUGUCGGGCUCGAGUCCGGGAGAGGUGAGUGGAACUGCGAGUGUAGAGGUGAAAUUCGUAGAUAUUCGCAAGAACACCAGUGGCGAAGGCGGCUCACUGGCCCGGUACUGACGCUGAGGUGCGAAAGCGUGGGGAGCAAAAGGG